UAGCUUUUAUCAAUGAAAAGAGAGCUUAUUAACAUAACUAUGUUUACAAUUUAUCCAAGUAUUUACAUAUUUUUCCACAUUUAGUGUGUACAAAUUUCAUUAUUAGUCAUUCCAUCGUCACAGCGUGAAUCAGACUCUGUUCAUAUGUAAAAUAAUUGACAAAGAAUUUAUUAGCACAGAUGAAUUUAAUGUCAUUAUUAGUAAUGAUUAAUAGGAAUAUGGUAUGCUGCUUAAAUACGAAUAUUGCGAAUAUUCAAACAAAGCAUUGCAGAAUAAAAAAAAAUUACUAUAAUCGAUGACAUUAAUAUGUACUUAUUCAAUUAAUAUUUAUUGCGCGCUUUUAUAACCUACAGUACCAUGAAUAAUACCGUGGAUGUGAUCGAAAAUUUGAAAGUAAUUGCAUUGAAAAUUUAUUUAUAGAGGAGAGACAAAAAACGUAACGAAACGAAAAGCCAAAAAAGUUCCCAAGGUUGACUGGAAGAAAUCCCUUUAAGGGAUAAGUCCGUCUAUAUACAUUUCUGUCAUAACCUAAGGUAUAUGUGAUUGUACAAAAGCAUAUAAAUAAAUGAAUAAUAUUAGAAAUAAAAGUAACUCACCAAGAGCAACUCCUGAGGUAAGUCUCCACCGUUGUUGAUCCCCCUGUUCAUGGCGACGAACUGCUCCGGCGAGGGUUUGUCUUUCACGCUGGGAUUGUGCAACGACGUGUUCAGCAUGAUUAUGGCGAAACUAAGCACGUAACACGUGUCCGCGUUCGUGAAUAUGUCUGGAUUCAACUGGCAAUACCGCUGCGCGAAACACUCCAUCAUCCUGUCGAUUUUCUGCGCCUCGCCGGGCAAA